rnacentral:rRNA from 1 species
AUUGAACGCUGGCGGCAUGCUUUACACAUGCAAGUCGAACGGUAACAGGUUAAGCUGACGAGUGGCGAACGGGUGAGUAAUGCAUCGGAACGUGCCCGAUCGUGGGGGAUAACGCAGCGAAAGCUGCGCUAAUACCGCAUACGAUCUAAGGACGAAAGCGGGGGACCGUAAGGCCUCGCGCGAUCGGAGCGGCCGAUGUCAGAUUAGGUAGUUGGGGGGGUAAAGGCCCACCAAGCCGACGAUCUGUAGCUGGUCUACGAGGACGACCAGGCACACCGGGACUGAGACACGGGCCAGACUCCAACGGGACGCAGCAGGUGGGAAUUUUGGACAAUGGGCGAAAGCCUGAUCCAGCAAUUCCGCGUGCAGGAAGAAGGCCUUCGGGUUGUAAACUGCUUUUGUACGGAGCGAAAAGGUCCUUUCUAAUACAAGGGGCUCAUGACGGUACCGUAAGAAUAAGCACCGGCUAACUACGUGCCAGCCGCCGCGGUAA